GAUGAAGAACGCAGCGAAAUGCGAUAAGUAAUGUGAAUUGCAGAAUUCCGUGAAUCAUCGAAUCUUUGAACGCACAUUGCGCCCCCUGGCAUUCCGGGGGGCAUGCCUGUCCGAGCGUCAUUUCUGCCCUCAAGCACGGCUUGUGUGUUGGGUGUGGUCCCCCCGGGGACCUGCCCGAAAGGCAGCGGCGACGUCCGUCUGGUCCUCGAGCGUAUGGGGCUCUGUCACUCGCUCGGGAAGGACCUGCGGGGGUUGGUCACCACUAUAUUUUACCACGGUUGUCCUCGGAUCAGGUAGGAGUUACCCGCUGAACUUAAGCAUAUCAAUAAGCGGAGGA
rnacentral:misc_RNA from 1 species